UCCCAGACUCCUACGGGAGGCAGCAGUGAGGAAUAUUGGUCAAUGGUCGGGAGACUGAACCAGCCAAGCCGCGUGAGGGAGGAAGGUACAGAGUAUCGUAAACCUCUUUUGUCAGGGGACAAAGACUGGGACGCGUCCCCGGAUGAGUGUACCUGAAGAAAAAGCAUCGGCUAACUCCGUGCCAGCAGCCGCGGUAAUACGGAGGAUGCGAGCGUUGUCCGGAAUCAUUGGGCGUAAAGAGUUCGUAGGCGGUAUGUUAAGUCUGGUGUUAAAUGCAGAAGCUCAACUUCUGUUCGGCACUGGAUACUGGCAAACUAGAAUGCGGUAGAGGUAAAGGGAAUUCCUGGUGUAGCGGUGAAAUGCUUAGAUAUCAGGAGGAACAUCGGUGGCGUAAGCGCUUUACUGGGCCGUAAUUGACGCUGAGGAACGAAAGCCAGGGUAGCAAAUGGGAUUAGAUACCCUCGUACC
rnacentral:rRNA from 1 species